CUAGAUCGUUGGGACCGGCACCCUCGCGCCAAGAAAAGAAAACAAUAAUUAAUGGGCAGGGUAGACAACAUGUGCCGUCAACCGUCGACAGUUCAGCUGUCACCAAAUGAGCAGCUUGCUGCUGAAGAAACCUUCAAGUUGUACUGCAAGCCAGUUGAGCUCUGCAAUGUUAUCCAAAAACGAGCCCUUGAUAAUCCCGCUUUUCUACAACUCCUUUACAUGAUACAGACAAGCUGCACAAAGAGGUUCCGCUGGCUCCACUAACAACCGUCUACGGGCGCUUGCAUAGGAUACCAAGCGAGUGUUUAGGAUCCCACACCGGGCAUUUCUUGACAUGCUCCUAGCACACCUUACGCUAAUCACCGGCUCAGUAUGACCGUGUUGUGCAUGACGACGGCAAGAUCUGUGUGACCAUCUUUUUCAACACCUCUACAUUGGAUCUUGGAGGACCAAUCAGUAUGAACGUGUCACAUCCCUAGCUUCGGACGUGAUACCGAUGAUGUGAUCGUUGACACUGAUGAAGACUCAAUGUUAUCUUCAAAAGUGCCAGGCAAGCAAAACC